CUUUUACAUCCGGAAAGCGUCGGUUAUGGGUUAAAGUAUGUGGUCUUUUUUGCGUGCUAAAGUACUCGGGACAGAAUUCUUUGGCUUAAUUUAAAAUGCAGAAGAUGCAGCGGUCUUGUAGUAGUAGGUCGACGUCAGCUUUGAAAACCUGUCCGUUCAGAAGCCUGAGUAGACUUAAGUGUUCAUUAGUUCCCGCGGGAGCCAUGUGCAGCCCCGGCGCUGAGUCGCAAGUCAAGCGCGCGUGGGCCGUGGGCCCUCCACCAAAGAUUAAAUACAGCUGAUGACUUCAGUGAAGAAGGUCGUUAGUUCUCCCGUCAGCGUCAUGUGGCCAUCUUGAAUCUACUCCGCCGUUUAGUAGCACUGCAUCCGGGUAGCCCGCCAGUUUAAUCCAGGUGGAAGCCGAACGAAUUGUUCCAGUGAUGAUGGAAAAUACAUAAAGAUACCAAGAAAUCCAAAGCGAUGUGAGUGAAGUCUUAUCCUGCAGUAUGCUGCCAAGUGAUUUUAAAUCUCAAGUAUGAUAUUUAAGUCAAUAAAUGAGUGCCUCCUUGUAUAUAACUACAUAAAAUGCUUGAUUUGUACAGAAAAUCAGUGUUCCCUACCUGAAUAAAUGCAAAGGUGACUGCAAAUAGU
rnacentral:lncRNA from 1 species